CCUACGGGGGGCAGCAGUGAGGAAUAUUGCACAAUGGGGGAAACCCUGAUGCAGCGACGCCGCGUGUGGGAAGACGGUCUUCUGGAUUGUAAACCACUGUCCCCAGGGACGAAAAUGACGGUACCUGGGGAGGAAGCUCCGGCUAACUACGUGCCAGCAGCCGCGGUAAUACGUAGGGAGCAAGCGUUGUCCGGAAUUACUGGGUGUAAAGGGAGCGUAGGCGGGGAUGCAAGUUGGGUGUCAAAACUACCGGCUCAACCGAUAGUCGCACUCAAAACUGCAGCUCUUGAGUGAAGUAGAGGCAGGCGGAAUGCCUAGUGUAGCGGUGAAAUGCGUAGAUAUUAGGAGGAACACCAGUGGCGAAGGCGGCCUGCUGGGCUUUUACUGACGCUGAGGCUCGAAAGUGUGGGGAGCAAACAGGAUUAGAUACCCGUGUAGUC
rnacentral:rRNA from 1 species